CUACUAAAUACGCACCCAUCUGCCUAAGAUGGAGUGGGAACCAGCUCCUCUGAGGUGGCUUAAAUAUCUGCUGGUCUGCUGCUGAAUGAGAGACUGCCACAGAGUUAUCUGGAACAUUACCAAGGAUUUUCUGUUGGGAACGCAGAUGCACCUGCACUGAUGUGCUCUUGGAUGCCAAAGAGACUGUGUGACUAUGGGGGUUUUUUUUUUAGCUGAUUGCUUGGAUCUGACACUACAGGCUGUGCAGCUGUAGAAAAGACCUUCUCAUUUUCAUUGAGAAUAAAUAAAAUAAAAUAUUGCA
rnacentral:lncRNA from 1 species